UGGGAAUUGGCCAGUAACAAGGAGUCUCCCCACAUGUGCGCCUACAAGCUGGUGACGGUGAACUUCCACUGGUGGGGCCUGCAGGGCUGCAUGGAGCAAUUCAUACACAAGAUGAGGCAGAAAGGCGCAGUGUGGGGGCUGACGGCCGGAGACAAGUGACCCCUGGCUGGUGCCAGCAGGACACUGACAUGGACUCUGCCCCCUCCCACCUGGGAGUGAGGACCCAGCUGCCUUGGUGGGACCCCAGGGAUCCCCCUUCUCGUUCCGUCCAGCUGGGGGUGCUGGGGACCCCCCGCCCUUACUGAUCACGGCCUAGUGAGCUCUGGUGGGACAGCCCCCCGCCGGCCCCCCCCAGGCGCUUCUGGGGCAGUGGGGGGUGCUGGCCCUGGCAACCCCCCCCCCACAAGCUGUCCCAGGUUUCAGCACGUUCCUGUCCCCCCUGGAAUCAUGGUGGGGGGAGCAGGGAGCCCCCAGAGGCUGAUUUUCAGAGUUGGGGGAGGGGAGGAUACCCCGGGCCAGGCAGCCUCUGUUGGGUUCCAUGUGCCUGUGGUGGGGGCAGUGGGGGGAUCUGCCCCCAGGACCCCCCCACAUUCUGUAACUCAGGAUGGUUCAAAAACGUGAUCAGUAAAGAACUUGUCAGAAACGAGCUGUGGCCGAAGCUGCUGGGGGCUCUGCUCUGGGGGGCGCUGAGGGCUGCCGGGCCGGGGAUGCCCAGUGGGUCCUGGCCCGAAACUGCCUCUCAUAUGGGAACUGCUGGAAACCACCUGCCCGGCUGAGGGGGGUGGGGGGAAAGUUCCCUGUGGGGGCCCCCCUGCUUCUGGGAAUCCACUCCUCCUCCCUCGGGUGGGGCCACGGGCUGGUGACACCCCCUCCCUGUAUGCAAAUUACCCCACCUGGAGCCCCGUUGGGCUGGGGGGCCACAGGUGGGACCCCCGCCUGGCUCUGGCGCUCCUGGGCUCUGCUCUGACCUGGGGCUUGGGUGCCUUGUCUGGGGCCAGUGGAGGGAUCUCAGGGGCUCACCCUUGGGCCGAGGGGGCUGGAGGCAGGAAUCAGUGGCGGCGGCCUGGGGGGGUUACUGGGGGGCCGUGCCCAGAGGAGUGUCCUGGCCCAGGCGUUGCCCAUGACGUGGCUCCGGGGAAAAGGGACCAGAAACAGCCCUGGUGCCGGGCACAGCUGGUUUCGCCCAGUGCUUUCAGUUAAAGCCGGCGGCUCACGUGAGGCUGAUCUGGGAAACUACAGCCUAGCGCUGGUGAGGGGUCCUGGGCCCACCCCCAGUGUCAGGUCAGGGGCCCAGCCCCUGCCACCCCCCCACUGGGCCCCAGAUAGGAUGGGGUGACACUGACAUUUUCCUUAGGACAAAGUUUCUGGGAAAUCCACGUGCCCCGGGUGAAACCCCCUCGCUUCCCCCGCCACCAGCUCUCACUCUGCGCUGGUUUCUUCAGCUCAGAGAUUCAUGAUGCAACCCCAGAGCUUCCUGCAAUAACCCCACUCCACUGCCCCCCCAGCACUGCAACUCAGCUGUGUGCUGGGGGGGGGGGCA